AUGAUACUAUCACCCUUCCAUCUCAACGACUAUCUUGCCGGUGGCGUGGCCGUCGAUGCUCUUCUGCCACGCCUUCGCCGCGUCGCCCAGCGGGAACCUCGAGUCCACCACCGUCCUGAGCUUCCCUUCCCCCACCAGCCCGACCAAGAACUCCA
rnacentral:sRNA from 1 species